rnacentral:rRNA from 1 species
UGGGGAAUUUUGGACAAUGGGCGAAAGCCUGAUCCAGCAAUGCCGCGUGUGUGAAGAAGGCCUUCGGGUUGUAAAGCACUUUUGUCCGGAAAGAAAUCCUUGGCUCUAAUACAGUCGGGGGAUGACAGUACCGGAAGAAUAAGCACCGGCUAACUACGUGCCAGCAGCCGCGGUAAUACGUAGGGUGCAAGCGUUAAUCGGAAUUACUGGGCGUAAAGCGUGCGCAGGCGGUUUGCUAAGACCGAUGUGAAAUCCCCGGGCUCAACCUGGGAACUGCAUUGGUGACUGGCAGGCUAGAGUAUGGCAGAGGGGGGUAGAAUUCCACGUGUAGCAGUGAAAUGCGUAGAGAUGUGGAGGAAUACCGAUGGCGAAGGCAGCCCCCUGGGCCAAUACUGACGAUCAUGCACGAAAGCGUGGGGAGCAAACAGGAUUAGAUACCCUGGUAGUCCACGCCCUAAACGAUGUCAACUAGUUGUUGGGGAUUCAUUUCCUUAGUAACGUAGCUAACGCGUGAAGUUGACCGCCUGGGGAGUACGGUCGCAAGAUUAAAACUCAAAUGAAUUGACGGGGUCAUAGCUGUUUCCU